rnacentral:rRNA from 1 species
UACGUAGGGUGCGAGCGUUAAUCGGAAUUACUGGGCGUAAAGCGUGCGCAGGCGGCUUGCCAAGUCAGAUGUGAAAGCCCCGGGCUCAACCCGGGAACUGCGUUUGAAACUGGCAGGCUAGAGUUUGGCAGAGGGGGGUGGAAUUCCACGUGUAGCAGUGAAAUGCGUAGAGAUCCGGAAGAACACCGGUGGCGAAGGCGGCCCGCUGGGCAACUGCUGACACUGAGGCGCGACAGCGUGGGGAGCAAACAGG